rnacentral:rRNA from 1 species
AUACGGAGGAUCCGAGCGUUAUCCGGAUUUAUUGGGUUUAAAGGGAGCGUAGGUGGAUUGUUAAGUCAGUUGUGAAAGUUUGCGGCUCAACCGUAAAAUUGCAGUUGAUACUGUCAGUCUUGAGUGUGCAUGAGGUGGGCGGAAUUUGUGGUGUAGCGGUGAAAUGCUUAGAUAUCACGAGGAACUCCAAUUGCGAAGGCAGCUCACUGGGGCAUAACUGACGCUGAUGCACGAAGGUGUGGGUAUCAAACAGGAUUAGAUACCCUGGUAGUCCACACAGUAAACUAUGAAUACUCGCUGUUUGCGAUAUACAGUAAGCGGCCAAGCGAAAGCAUUAAGUAUUCCACCUGGGGAGUACGCCGGCAACGGUGAAACUCAAAUGAAUUGGCGGGG